CCUCCCUCUACAGGCUGAAGCCUGCGAAGGAAAGGCCGCCCAGCACCAGGCUUGCUGCUGCUCGGUACCUGCAAUUUGCACAGAGGGAGUUCAGCUAUUUCAGAGCAGAGGCACUAGAAAUACCCGAGUAGAGGGGAACACGAUGCCUCCUCCCACACCACCCUCAGAAUCCAGGGUGGUACAGGGUGAACUUUCCAUCAAGGUGACAUUGAUUUUUUUAAAAAAGAUUAAAAAGAGAAAGAAAGAAAGAAAGAAAGAAAGAAAGAAAGAAAGAAAGAAAGAAAGAAAGAAAGAAAGAAAGAAAGAGAAAGAAAGAAAGCAGCACCAAUAUUUCUAAAUGCUGGACAAAAGAACACAGAAACCAAAGGGCAAAUGGACCUGCAAGCAUCUAGCCUCUCCCACCAUUAGGCAGCAACACCUUCCAGUCCGAGGCUCCCUAAGCUCCAAUGCACAGGCAGCUCUGGGGCCCUACCAAGGUGUAGACUCUCCUCUAUCCUUCUGAGAAAGGGGAGGGAGGCUGGAGUUCUGCAUCAAUCUCAAGUUUUCCAGAAACCCUGAUGUUUGUCCCUUGAGCCACAAUGGGUCACAAAGAAGUCACCUUCUUCAGGGCAGUUCCUCUCUGCCCAGCUGGGGUCAGCUGUCCUGUAAUACUCCCCAGAGAGGAAGCUGUCUUCUCUGACUGAGAUCCCAGCUGGGCAGUACUGACUGGUCUGACAGCUUGUGCUUGGAUGUACUUCACCAGAAAGAGGUCUUCUCAGGAGAAGCACCACAGCAUAGGAAUUCCUGGGACUAGCGCCUUGGACACACCCCACCCUUCUCUUGGGAGCAAGCCUCCAGGGAUCACUAAGGUAGGGGCACGGCCUGCUCCGUGAGUACUGUCCAUCUAUCUGUUUCUGUGGAGUGAUUACUAGAGAUAGCCCUGGAUGCAGUUUCUUCUCCAGACAAGCCAUUUGGCAUUAGCACUUUGAUUCUCUUCAGAGUUAAUGAAGAGUCUAGGCAGAUCACUGGGCCAGCCA
rnacentral:lncRNA from 1 species